rnacentral:lncRNA from 1 species
UGAGUAAUGAUGACACUAGCAGUCCAGCCUGCAUGGAUGCUGACAUGGAUGCUGUCUCCCAUUCUUACCACUGGAUGGGAAGAAAUGCUAGAUGCAAUCCAGCCAGUCUGUACUCGACUGUCAGUUCCAUCUUCUCAACUCACAGUGUCUUCCAAAGUCCGUGCCACACCACAGCCUGGAACAUCUCCCAAGGCUUUGAAUAACUCACCAGUGAAGUCUUCUUGACCUGGACAGAAAUUGAAUCCUCCCAAGAAUCCCAG